UUAUUCAGCCAUUCUCCAAGUGGUGGACAUCCACUCAGUUUCCAUAUGCCAUGGUUUCUUGAACACACCGACUUCUGGGAAGGCAGGUUUCUGUUAACUAAAGAAAAUACUUAUUUGGAGACAGGUUUUUCCUUCUAUGAGGAUCUUAAAAUUCCAGUGAACUUCCUGCCUCUUUUAGGGAUCUGAUGUAUUCUAAAUACAAUCUAAAACAUUGAAAAACAGCUAAGGGAAUCCUUUGAUGGUUGUCCUUUAUGAGGUUGAUGAUUAGGUCCAUUAAUAUAAUGGUACCUGAACAGAUUCUAUAGUAAUCUUAUGCCCAUAAAGAGUAAAUACCUCAAACUCAUUUUUAUAUCUUUAGGACAGCUCUAUUGUGCUACAUCAAAGGAGACUGAAAUCAGAAAUAUCUAAAUCCUGGCCUGAUAUAGAUAAAUCUUCUGGAAAAGGGAUCUAUAUGGGAUUUCUGCUUGAGUGAGGGAGAAUGGGUCAUUAGGAAUCCAGAAAUGUCUCUUGCAUUGUGUAAUCACAUUGUGAAUUUCUUGUCGAAUCUUAGAGUUGGGGGGGAGGGGGGGAAAAUCUUACAGAUUAUCUUCAAGUUGAUAUAUUUAUAAUAGUGCUAAUAGUGUGUUGGAACCUGUGAAGGCAACUUCUUGUCCUCUCCCAUUUUUGUUCUUUGUGGGGUAGAAGGCCCUAGGGAUACAUCCUUGGUCUAAAAUCAUGUUGCUUUUGCAUAAGUUAUAGUCACUGACAUCUCAAUUUGGCGAAAGCUAAUAAGGACAGGUGGGAAAGGUAAAUGUCGAGCAAGAAUUUGUGUGGACUUUCUAAAUCCUCACCAUCUGGAAGUAUAACUAAAAAGGGUGGCAGCUGUUUAUCAAAUCAAGAAACGAGGCCCAGUGCUAAAAGUUGGGAGAAAGAUGUGGUAAAGACUUCUUUCCUCUCAACUUGUCUAUUGGGCUUCUUUGAAUAGAACCCAAUCUUACAGAAGAGUAAGCAUAAGGAAUAAGUCUUAGCUGUCACCAAUGUCCUUUGAGAGUAAAGGUUCUUUGACCCUAUCCUAGGAGAAAAGGCUGUGGAGACCCAGACUUUUUUUAAACACUGAAAUGAAACAAUGCAGUCAGGAGGCCUGAAGAAAGGCACUUAAGAUAAAGCUAAUCUUGGCCUCCAAGGCAACUUGCAAGAGUUGACAGAAGAGCAAAUAUUAAAACUAUUUUUUAAUAGCUGCAGCCUCAUGUAAACAUUCUGAAAGGCAUCUUCCUUAGGGAUUUAUGAAAUGAUCUUUGACCUCCAAAAACUCAUCUUUCUAGGAGUUCACCAAGCCAGAAGGAAAAUAAAUGCCACUAUCAUUCAUGUAAGAGACAAAGACUUACUUCCAUGGAUCAAAAAAGCUUUGAAGUAAAAGCAGAAUAGAGAAGGAAGUAAAGAGGCAGAACAGAAACCUGACCUAUGCCAAGUGACUGGGAAAAUAUGAAUCAAGGAAGGGAAUAUUUCAUUCUGAAAUGAAGAGGGAACAAUGGCUGGAUGAAAAGAACAAGUAUAUGAUGAAGGGAAUGUUGAAUUAACCAUAAUUAUCACAAUGAAUGGAAUGAAUCACUCAAAUGGAGGUAGGUAACAGAAUAGAUUAGAAAGCUGAAUCCAGCAAUCUAUUGUUUAUAAGAAAUACAUUUGAAAGCGAUUUUCACAUAAAUUCUGCUCUAAAUCUUCAUUUUUACUAUGAUUCAGGUGAAAUUUUUUUUCCCCCCAAAGAGGUAUUAUCACAGUCUUAAACAAAUCUACUUUUACUGUUUUUAAAAGAAACAAGCAGAAUUCUUAAAGCCAUGAAAUUGUAGACAUCAAUAUUUAUACAUGUACUGAAUGCCUUAGCAUCUAUGUACUUAAGGAAAAGCUAAUUGCAUAAAGGGAGAAAAAUAGAAGUAUGAUAAUUAAGAUUUGUCAAUCUAUGAAGAAUACAAAGUCCAACAAAAAUAUGAAUGAGAUAAUUAGGAACAUGAGUAGAAUUUUAGGAAUGAGAUGAUAGCGGGAAUAGAAAGGAAGGAGUGUACAUGUUUCAACUAUGCAUGGAAUCCUUUUAUAAAAUGGUCAUGUGCUAGGGUAUAAAAAUUUCAAAUACUGAAAAUCAAAUAAACAUUCUUUUUAAAAGGAUAGCAUGAUAAUUAUCUUCACUAAAGAGUCAUGCAAGAAGCAUCUAAUGAUUGCUAAAUAUUGCGGUCAGUGUGCCAAGGACACAAACAUACCCGACUUCAAGGUGUUCCCAAUACAAAGUUCUUGCUACUACAGUUCUUGGCAUUGGUUCCACAUUGGAUCUGAUAAGCUUUUGCUUAUAGAAAUAUCAUGAAAGAAGAUACAUUAAUAUUAUUUUCUGCUGCAUCAUCAGAAUUAAAUGACUUGUGAACUGUAUGUGUUAUCUCCUAUUAGGAUGGGCAUUUCCUUAAGAAUGAUCUUAGUUUUCUAUUUGUAUUUCUAGCACUCAUAUGGCACUUUAAUGUUUAAUAAGUAGUUUAUUCCUUAAUCCUAAACAGAGAUAAUGUUACAUAUUAUAGAUAUAUGCAGCAUAGUAGACAGAAGAUAAUCAAAAAGGGGAAGACAUUUGCAACUGUGGGAUUUUGAGAAAGGGCCCCUGCCAAGAUCACUUUGUUAACUUUUAAGGAAUAGGAUAAGAUUGGGGAAAUAGAAAGAAAUUAGAAAAAUAUUGGAAUAAACAUAAGGGAAUCCUGUUCUGAAUCCCCUCCCAC